CGCUGAUUGGUUGUUUUGCAACAAGCUUUGCUGCGGCUGACAGAGCAACAGAAGAAGAAGAUGGAGACUUUAGCUGUUGAACGGUAUCUGUUUGAGCCUGAAUCAGAGGAAGGAUCUGAUGUAGAGGAGCCACUUGCCAGUUGAUUGGAAAUGACUCUUCAGACUGGUGUUCUUGUGGAAACUGUGCACAAAUGCCCCAGGAGAGAGAAAAUAUGUUGCCAAUAAAUACCUCAGGUCAUGAAACGAAUGACCCGGGUUCCUGAGGAGAUAACCUGUAUGACUCACCAUCCUGGCCUUCAUCUGGUGUGCCUCAAUAUACAUUCUUUGCUAAAUGCAAUGAAUAUUUACAGAGUUGACCAUGGCCAGUUGAGAAUCAGAGGGAUGGAAAGGCAAUGCAGACACAUGGCCUAUAGGACUUGGUGAGCUGGUGCUGCGUUUUCUUGAUAAGGAAG